UAAAGUUUUGUCGUGACCUAAAACAUAGAUUUAAUUUCUAUUUUAAAUUACCUCCUUAAAAACUUUCCUCUAUGUUUAAGAGAGGCCAUUUUUAUGCGGAUCUGAGCGGGUAGGGUUUGGUCGUCUCUGGAGUUUCACAUUCCGAGGAAAAAAUGGCCGUAUUUCGGCCCUUGCUGAUACUCAUCCCAGCCUCGUCCUCUGCUAUUUAGCAGUUUUCAUCACAGAUAUCAUUUUAUGGAAAGUGGCCAGUUGUCGUGGAAGCGUAAAAGAAAGAAUCAGUGGGUAUAAAGAGGGAUAAGAUGUAGGAGGACAGCAGGCAUAGGAGGAAUGGCAAGACUUUGCACAGAAUAAUUAUAGUGAGCGUGUAGUCUUCCCUGAUCCUCCCAUGCCCAUUGUUUUCUCUACAUAUCCCUCUUAUUCCACUUUGCUUCAAGAAAUCUAUGCUACAGGUAUCUGUUUUGUAUUGAUUGUUAUAUUGUUUUUACAUUUGAUAAGUUUCAACGGAUCUGUUUUGUAUUAUACAUAUAGACGUGCUGGUAGCUUGUAGAGGGAUACAUCUCUUUGCUGUACAGAUUUGCGCAAGCUGUUGAUCUAAUGAACAAUCGGUUACCUGUAAAUGAUUUGGGCAUUUGUGAAAUUCUUUAUAUCUCUUCAAUUUAGUCAUUUUGUUAUGAAGUGAUUUUAUAUUAGGAUUUCAAGAUCCAUAAGUUCUAUAUUCUAACCCUAAUUUUACAAUAAUUUAAAUCUUAAUUCUAAUUAAUUCUAAUCCUAAUUCUAACCCUAACUAUAAACAUGAUUCUAAUUUUUAUUCUAAUUUUUUAUUUUAGUUCUAGCUUUAAUCUUACAGUUACAUAUAAUUCUCUCCUUGAAAACUUAACCCCCCCCCCCUUUUUUUUUUUAAGGGCUCCGUUUUUCUCCGUGUUUGAAUGGUGAGGGUUGUCACUUUAGGAGUUUCACCAAUUUUCCCGAGUUAAAUAUGCUCGGAUAUCGGCUUCUGCUGAUACUCAUCAUAGUUCCAUGCUCUGCUAUUGAUUAGCAGUUUUCAUCAAUGAAUCUGGGGGGACACAGCGUUUAAUGGCGAGUGGCCGGUUGUCUGUUGAAGCGUAAAAACCAAAGACAUGGUGGGUAUAGUGAGGGAUAAGAUGUAGUAGGAGGACAACAGGAAUGGGAGGAAUGGAAGACUGCUCAUAGGGCAAUGUUUGGUGAGUGGUCACUAGGUUUGCAGCUGCUCUUUGCCUCUUAAAUAUUUUGCAGAUGGCUGCCGUGGUUCAUUAAUUCUAAAAUGGAGCUGCUUCAUCAAUUGGGUGGCUGAUGCGAUUCCUUAAUUCCAUGCCGGGCAUUCUUAGGUGGGAUGGAAGAUCAUCAUUUGGUUGGCUGAUGUGGUGUAACAAUAUAUUAGAUCUUAUUCACACAAGUUCUAGAAGCUUCCAAGCAGUUGAGAGAUUGUGAAAGCAGACCUAUAUAAAAAUAAUCAUAACCAUUUGAGAACAUCUUUUGACAAUUGAAGAGCUACCUUCUCUAAACAGGAUCUUUAGUUGGCUGCAUAUUGAUUCGCUUGGAUCUGAGGGACCAAGCAUUAAAGCAUUUGUGGCAUGGGUGAUCUAAGACGGCUGAGAAGUGGUAGUAAGUGUCGUGGGCCUAAGAUGCUGUAACUGCAAUCUGUUUCCAGAUCUGUUUUCGAGUCCAAUGGAGUUUAGGAACUUGCUGCCAUUUCCUGUUUGGAUGUGACAAUAGUGAGAUUGCAUGUUAUAUUGAGGCUGAACCUCAUUUGCUUUGUAUUUGAAGCUUAAAAUUUGAUAAAACACUGUUCACUUCUCACUUUCUGAGUUUCUUAUUUUUAAGCUUUUAUUGUGCAACUGUGUUCUAUGGUAUCUGGAGUCCGUUGGAUUUAACUGAACCAUACCAGGUAUUGUGCCAAGUGCUAUCAAAGCUUACUGAAGUAUCUUGGAGUUUGAAGAAUGGUCUAGAGGCAGAGGAAGAGGAGUACCUUUUUGGGGGAGGAAAAAUGCCCCAUGAAUGUUAAGAGACAGUUAUUGGAAAUCAUCAAAAGCAGUGACUCCACCUCUCAUUGGUGGCUAGGACUCC